CAUGGUUCUUGUUGUCUCCCUCCUCUCUUCCCUUUCCCCUUCCAGAGUUGACAAGCAACUCCAUUGGGUGCUACAUAUAUUAUCACCCAAAACCUAUUUCCAUAUUAUUCAUUUUUAUAAUAGAAUAAUCUUUUAAAACUAAACCCCAAAUCAUAUAUCCAUGUAAAGAAGUGAUAAAUCAAAUGUUUUUCUUCUGUGAUUCUGCUCCCACAGUUCUUUCUCUAGCUGUGGAUAGUGUUCUUUCUCACAAGUCCCUCAGCAUUGUCUCAAGGUAUUGUACUUUUGAAAAGCAUAACAUGGAUUUUUUCCCCUUGUAAAACAUUCCAUGUUAGUUAAAAGUUGCCACGAUUUUAGCAAAUAGUAUUAUCUGCCUCAAACCAGAGACUAGAAGUCCAGGAAGUACUUUAUUUCAUUAAAUCCUUCAUUUUGCAGGGGAAGAAACUGAACUCCAAAGAGAUUGUGGUUUGCUCAAGUUCACAAAGUUUAUUAGUAGCAAGCAUAGAACUAGAACCCAAGUCUUCCCAAUCCUAAACCCUUUUUCCUAUUCUAGUCUGUGAUGCAAGAAAUUAGAGGACUUUAAGCUCAGCCUCAAAAUACGUGUCCAGCCUGACUUUUUGUGGUUGUGUCUCCUUAAUUCUCAAAAGAAACAAGCUGCAACAACCAAGGCCAGGGGAUUCUGUCUUUGUUAGCUGUGUCUCUUGUUUCUACUUUCAAAAAACGACAAUAAGUCUUAAGAUCUUGUGAUCUAUAAUAAUUGUGUGUGUGUGUGUGUAUGUGUGUGUGUGUGUGUGUGUGUGUGUGUGUGUGUGUGUGUGUAUUAAGCCCAUGCUAUUAUAUGCCAGGUGCUAUGCUAGGUUCUGGGAAUCUAAAGAAUGAAACAAUCCCUGCUCUCAAGGAACUUACAUUCUACAUGGGGAAAAUGAGUAUAUAUGCACAUGUUUACUUGUCAAGGGCAUAAAUCUUCAGAAUCUAUGAAAGGCAGUUGAUGAGUAAGUCUGCUCUACCAAGUUAUUUACCUGAGGCACAGGUUGGCCUUUGUAAUAGGGAAAGUAUAAAGAGAACACAAGAUGGAAAGUUGGCUUUAAGAAACUGGCGUUGGCACAUGCCAGGAACUUUGGAGGAAAUAUUCUAGAAGCUAAGGGGUAGAGAAAGAAGGGGUUAAUGGAGAGGCAACUGUCACUUGGUCCUUGGUCUUGGUCUUGGACUGUGACUUGGUCCUGGGUCUCAGUCUUAGACUGCCUCUUUGACCCUGGUCCUGCUCAAGCAGAGGGAGGAAGAGCUGCUUCUAGGAGCUUUUCCUAUCUGAAGACUGCUAGGAAAGACAGAGGACAACCCUUCAAUUGUUCCUGGUGGUUCCUGAUCAGCUGGAGAGCAGUUUGGAGCAGAUCUGGUUAUCCCUGCUGUCUGCAAAUUGGUUGAAUGAUGAAGGCAGAAGUUGUCUUUACUGCCACCUGUUGCUGUGAAGAAGAAAAGGAAGGACUAGACAGAUUCUGCUUUCUAUUGUGAAUGGUUACUAAGAAGAAUAAGUAGAGAAAACAUAUUCUAGUCUUUAUUAGAUUUGCUGCUGAGAAGAGAGAAGGUCAUCUUAUGCAUUGCUAUCUGCGGUGGGGAAAAGUCCUGAAAAGGAAGAGCUUUAAUAAUAAGGAUCAUUUUCUUUUCCAAAAAGAGUCAAUAUAAUGAAUGACUAACAAUAACAAUAAUUAUAAUGAAUUAUAAAUAAUACAUAUUAGAUAUAUAAUUGAAUAUAUAUACUAAUUAUAAUUUAUAAUUACUUAUAAUAAUGUCUAAAAGAGCAAAAAUAAUUAUUACUUCAGCUUAAGGCAUUAUCUAAGCUUGGAGCGGGAAGAGAUGGAUAUUAAGGAGUCAAGGAGUCAAUUCAACUGAGCAAAGGAAUAACUUGAAAAUAAAGCAUCAGAACAUGUAUAA